CUCCCUUUCAGAUUCAACUCCAAGAAAAACUUGCCCACGCACCUUGCCUCCAUUUCCUGGCCUCCCACUCACUUCUCAAUCCCAGGCAAUCUGGCUUCCACCCCAUUACUCAAAUGAAACUGCUUUCUCCAAGGUUACCAAUGAUCUGAGCGGCUAAUUCCAAAGGCCUUUUCUUAAUCUCAUUUUAGUUGACCUCCAUAGCUUCAGACACUGUCAACCACUCGCUUUUUGGACAUGCUCUUCCCUCUUGGUUUCCAUGACUCUCUUAGGUCCUCCUCUUAGCAUUCUUUUCCUUUUCAACUUCUUUGCUAGAGCAUGUCUCCCAACACCUAACUGUAAAUAUUCCAUAAGGCUCUGUCCUGUGCCCUCUGUUGUAGUCAGUCAGGAGGCCCUGGAUUUGAAUACUUUAGACAUCUAUUAGUCUUAUGAUCCUGGGCAGGUCAUUUCACCACUUAGCAUCCUUGUGAACCUGUCAACAGGGAAUCUAGAAGCCCUCAAACUUGUAGCCUAGAAAGAUUUAAACCUGAGGCUUUCUCCUUGUCACCUGAGAGUUCCUCCCUGAGGGAAGUCCUACUUCAUCAGUCUCAUACUAACAGUAGACCCUGAGUUAUAGCGCAGUAGUAUCAGUCUCAGUGGCAUCAGUCUCAUAAGCCAAAGGUCCUGAGUUCGAUCCUUGAAAGGGAAAGGGGGAUGUGAUACAAGAAUCUUCUAAAGCAAAAAGAGGCAUCUGAUGGGAUUAGUCUUCUCCACUCUGAACUAAUUUAAGGAGGAACUCUCAUAUGACAAGCUCCAUGAUCCCAAACAUGGAUUUGGAAGGAAAGGCAGCAGAUAACACUCUGCUCCCCACCAAUGACAACCUCAGAAGCCCUGAAAAGGAAGAAGCAUUUCUUGCACAUGAUGGAGAUGGAACAUUUUUCAAUACAAAAAGGAAAGUGCAGAUGCUGGGUUACCAAAGAAUCAUUCAUUUGGAGAGGCAUUUGUUACCAGAUGAAGGAACUGAAUGUCUUGGAGAAACUGAUCAAGUCUCAUUUUGUAGUAUCCUUUAAUUCAAAAGCUCUCAUUCCAAUUGCUGCAGUGAGUGGCUAUAAUUUACCAUGUCCUCCCCUACUCAAAAAUUCAACAUUACCAUCUAUUGUCACUAGGAUAAAAUGUAAAUUCCGGAGUCUGGUAUUUAAAGACUGGUAUUUAAAGCUGACUCUCAUCAAUUUGUCCAAGUUUUUUUUUCUUUUAAAUAAUACUUCCUUUCACAUGUUCCUUGCUUUAGCCAAACUGACUUGCUGUUCACUAUACAAGAUAUUCCAUUUCCUACCUCCAUGCUUCUGCAUGAUUGUCUUCUAUGUCUAUAAUCCACAUUCAACACUUCCACCUUACCUCCUUUAAAGCAUGGUUUAGGUGCUCUGUCCCACACAAAAUUCCCGAUUCCCCUAGUUGCUGGUACUGUCCCCCACUGAAAGUACUUUAUAUUUACAUAUCUGUGUAUAUGUUGUAUCUUCUCAGUAGAGCUUCUGGAUGGUGAGGAUGGUUUUAUUUUUGUCUUAGUAUCUUCAGCGCCUACCACAGGGCUUGGCACACAACAGACACAAUAAUCUUUUGCUCAGUCAAUCUGAAUUAUUCAAAAGAAUUUCAAAAAUAUU
rnacentral:lncRNA from 1 species